CUCCGGCCCCGCUACAAGCGUCUGGUGGACAACAUCUACCCCGAGGACCCCGAGGAGGGGCUGGUGAAGUCCAACAUGGAGAAGCUGACGUUCUACGCGCUCUCGGCUCCGGAGAAGCUCGACCGCAUCGGCGCUUACCUGUCCGAGCGCCUGACGCGCGACGUCGCCCGGCACCGAUACGGGUCGGUGCGGGUGGCCAUGGAGGCGCUGGACCAGCUGCUCCUGGCCUGCCACUGCCAGAGCAUCGACC